rnacentral:rRNA from 1 species
GACGGUACCUGCAGAAGAAGCGCCGGNNNNNNACGUGCCAGCAGCCGCGGUAAUACGUAGGGCGCAAGCGUUGUCCGGAAUUAUUGGGCGUAAAGAGCUCGUAGGCGGUUUGUCGCGUCUGCUGUGAAAGCCCGGGGCUCAACCCCGGGUCUGCAGUGGGUACGGGCAGACUAGAGUGCAGUAGGGGAGACUGGAAUUCCUGGUGUAGCGGUGAAAUGCGCAGAUAUCAGGAGGAACACCGAUGGCGAAGGCAGGUCUCUGGGCUGUAACUGACGCUGAGGAGCGAAAGCAUGGGGAGCGAACAGGAUUAGAUACCCUGGUAGUCCAUGCCGUAAACGUUGGGCACUAGGUGUGGGGGACAUUCCACGUUUUCCGCGCCGUAGCUAACGCAUUAAGUGCCCCGCCUGGGGAGUACGGCCGCAAGGCUAAAACUCAAAGGAAUUGACGGGGGCCCGCACAAGCGGCGGAGCAUGCGGAUUAAUUCGAUGCAACGCGAAGAACCUUACCAAGGCUUGACAUGGACCGGACCGCCGCAGAAAUGCGGUUUCCCUUCGGGGCUGGUUUACAGGUGGUGCAUGGUUGUCGUCAGCUCGUGUCGUGAGAUGUUGGGUUAAGUCCCGCAACGAGCGCAACCCUCGUUCUAUGUUGCCAGCGCGUUAUGGCGGGGNCUCAUAGGAGACUGCCGGGGUCAACUCGGANGAAGGUGGGGACGACGUCAAAUCAUCAUGCCCCCUUAUGUCUUGGGCUUCACGCAUGCUACAAUGGCCGG